rnacentral:tRNA from 1 species
UCCCGUGUGGCUCAGUUGGUAGAGCAUGGUGUUUGCAACGCCAGGGUUGUGGAUUCGAUUGCCACGGGGG